UACGUAGGGGGCAAGCGUUGUCCGGAAUCAUUGGGCGUAAAGCGCGUGUAGGCGGCCCGGUAAGUCCGCUGUGAAAGUCGGGGGCUCAACCCUCGAAUGCCGGUGGAUACUGUCGGGCUAGAGUGCGGGAGAGGCGAGUGGAAUUCCUGGUGUAGCGGUGAAAUGCGCAGAUAUCAGGAGGAACACCGGUGGCGAAGGCAGGUCUCUGGGCCGAUACUGACGCUGAGGAGCGAAAGCGUGGGGAGCGAACAGG
rnacentral:rRNA from 1 species